AUACGGAGGGUGCGAGCGUUAUCCGGAUUUAUUAGGUUUAAAGGGUGUGUAGGCGGGAGCCUAAGUCAAUGGUGAAAUCUCACAGCUUAACUGUGAAACUGCCAUUGAAACUGGGUUUCUUGAGUACAGUUGAGGUAGGCGGAAUGUGUAAUGUAGCAGUGAAAUGCAUAGAUAUUACACAGAACACCGAUUGCGAAGGCAGCUUACUAAGCUAUUACUGACGCUGAUGCACGAAAGCGUGGGUAGCGAACAGGAUUAGAAACCCUAGUAGUCC
rnacentral:rRNA from 1 species